GGGGAAUUUUGGACAAUGGGGGCAACCCUGAUCCAGCCAUGCCGCGUGCGGGAAGAAGGCCUUCGGGUUGUAAACCGCUUUUAGCCGGGAAGAAAAGGCGCGGGCUAAUACCUCGUGUUUUUGACGGUACCGGCGGAAUAAGCACCGGCUAACUACGUGCCAGCAGCCGCGGUAACACGUAGGGGGCAAGCGUUGUCCGGAUUUAUUGGGCGUAAAGAGCUCGUAGGCUGUUCGAUAAGUCGGGUGUGAAACCUCCAGGCUCAACCUGGAGACGCCACCCGAUACUGUCAUGACUAGAGUCCGGUAGGGGAGCGUGGAAUUCCUGGUGUAGCGGUGAAAUGCGCAGAUAUCAGGAGGAACACCAGCGGCGAAGGCGGCGCUCUGGGCCGGUACUGACGCUGAGGAGCGAAAGCGUGGGUAGCAAAC
rnacentral:rRNA from 1 species